UGCCAGCAGCCGCGGUAAUACGUAGGGGGCGAGCGUUAUCCGGAUUUAUUGGGUGUAAAGGGUGCGUAGGCGGUUUAUUAAGUCUAAAAUUAAAGCCUGGGGCUUAACCUCAGUUCGUUUUAGAAACUGGUAGGCUUGAGUAUGGUAGAGGUAAGUGGAAUUUCUAGUGUAGCGGUUAAAUGCGUAGAUAUUAGAAGGAACACCAGUGGCGAAGGCGGCUUACUGGGCCAUUACUGACGCUGAUGCACGAAAGCGUGGGGAGCAAAUAGGAUUAGAUACCCUAGUAGUCCACGCUGUAAACGAUGAUUACUAAGUGUCGGGAAACCGGUGCUGAAGCUAACGCAUUAAGUAAUCCACCUGAGUAGUACGGUCGCAAGACUGAAACUCAAAGGAAUUGACGGGGGCCCGCACAAGC
rnacentral:rRNA from 1 species